GUGUCUCCUUACAAAGGGUAGAGAGACCCCUCCUCCCCGAAGCCGUGCUCUGACCCGGGAAGCAGGGCUGAUGGCUUCAUUGAGUUUAACGCGAACUCCAAUCGGAGAGGCAAAACGCGAACACGAUUAUCUAAUCGCAUUUACAUAAAGGAUCCAUACGAAAGGCUUUUGUGAGGCAAGGGAAGAAUCUCAGAAGCUUUCCUCUGGCCUCUUCUUGCCUGCUGUCUCUGCCCAUCUUCUGCCCCAGGAUGCAGCCACCUGCCUCCCCCACCACAGAAUAUCUUCAACACUGUUCUCAAACACACAAGCAGCCAAACUGGUUAACCAUCUGCACAGAAAUUGGAAGUUCAUGGUGAUGUCUAACCAUAGGAAGAAGGGAAAGGAGGAGGAGGAGAAGAAGAUAAGAAGAUAAAGGGCUAAAAUGCAUCUUUUCCCCGCCCUACAGAGCAAGGUUCAAAGUCUUUUCUACCUGAGUUCAAAGCGGAGCCUGUCCCAUCAGUAAUUGGCAAACGCUUCGAGCACCUAUUCUGGGCUGGCACUGGAGGUAUACUGGCAAACAAGCCAGACUAGGCAAACACUCACCCCUACAGCACUGAGGCUCCCGGCUGCAGUGGCAGCCUGCUGGUGGAGGUACCUAGUGCGGUAAUAGUGUGACACAUUUAGUUGGACACUGAGGGAACAGAAAGGAGGGCAGAGGGCUGGAGCAAAGUACUCAGAGGUAGUACAGUGGUAGGAGGUGAAGUUGGAAGGGAAGGCAGGCCCAGAUCUUGCAGAACUUAGUACUCCUAUGUAAGGAGCUGGAAUUUUAAGUCCAAUGAAAAACAAUCACAGGGUUUUAAGCCAGGGAGAGGCAUGAGCUGAUUUACAUCUCUAAACACCACUCCAGCUGUUAUGUGGCUAAUGGACUGUAGCAUUAUCUAGAGAGGACUCUUCUUGGCGUGAGGAAAAGCAAUCCAUUCUUGAUCUGGAGUCGACAUCCCCAUUCUGGACUUUAAAUUGCCCCAGGAGGGAACACUGGUAGGAAGUAGUUAGUCCACCCAGUCUAGCUUGAGGGUACUACUGAUUUUUGGCCUUUAGGUUUACAAAUCAGUAUCUUCUGACUUCUUUGGAAUGAACCUCUGGGCAAGUGGACACAAAUUAGUUUCUGAGCCCACAAAGCUCUGAACUAGAUUCUGUCCAAAGUUCCACCCACCUGUGAGGUCGUAUGAACAGGUCAGAGCCCAUAAACCCCUCCCAGCUGCAGCCAUGUGCUUUAAAAUAUUCUCAUGUUUAUGGAUUGAAAAAAAUGAGUGAAUGAAUGAACAAGUGAAAAACAAAUACAUGGCUGGCAGGUUGGCUAGAAUGGUGGGUGGAAGGAAUCAGUGUGUAUAUGUGUGUGUGUAUGUGUGUGUGUGUGUGUGUGUGUGUGUGCAUGGAGCAAGAGAAAGUUUGGGCAAAUUAGAGAUAGACAGGGUAAGGUCUCAGAGAAUAGGGAGAAGACAAAUCAAGAGGGCCAGUGGAGAUGUUAAUCUGGCCCCCCUACUGAUUCUGGAAGAUUCCUCAAUAAGCCUUCCAGUCUCUUUGGUUGCCUGGACACCUGCACAAAUGACGUGAAGCAAGUGGUCACCAUCUCCUCGAGUCCUUUGCUCUUGGAGGGCAAGUUCAAUCAUCCUCUCUUCAGACUCUACAGCUACAUUCACCCCUCCCUGGGCCUACAGAUUUUCCACCCCUCCCCAUGACCGCCUUCCAGCUCUGGGUAGGGUUAGGAGGACCCAGGGAUGCUAGGUGAGGGUUCCCUGUGGGGCCAGAGCCCUCCCACCCCCAUUGCAAGGCUAGUCCUCUGACUCUCAGGGACCCACUUGCACAAAGAUGGGGUUAGAUGGUACCAAAAAGCCUCAUCUGACCAAGUCAUCAUCCCCCACUUCCACAUUGUGCCUCAAGAAGGGAAUCCAAGACCCAAUACAACACCUUCAACUGGGCAGCACUCUGGGCCUCCAGAGAAAAAAAGCUUUGUAGGGAACAUGUCACUGGCUUAGCAAGACCAGGAAACAGAUAACUCAGUCCCACCAUUUUGCUGUGAGCCCACUCUGCUGGGAAAAUCUGGCUUUUCUGAUUCUGGUGGGAAGUCCCACUCUGCUCUGUUAGCCAAAGGCCAAGGCACCAGUAACAAGAAGAUGCAGGCCCUGAAAGCAUUCUGUGAGGUUUGCUUUUGUUCUCAUGCAAGGUUUCCAGCAGGAGAUAAAUGCUUUCCACAUGGCCUGAGAGUGGAGGAGGCUUCUUUCCACUUGCUUUUGAUCCUUAGACACUGUAGCGUGUAAACAAUCAUCAUCCCACAGACAGUUUCCAGAAACAGAACCUCGCUUACUGACCUCCUACCCCCACCUCUGAACAAGACAACCAUGUUCCCACACCACCCUGCACCACCCCACUGGCUGACGACCCAGGAGCCAUGCCCCUAAGUCCCCAGGGAGCUCAUGAUCCAGAGAGAAAAGGCGUGAAGCAAAGGAUGCCCUGGAUGGCCAUUUUCUGUGGUCCCUUGGGCUCCCUGCCCAAAACUGUCUUCCUCAGAACCCUCUGGGCUCCACGAGUGCCCUGAGACAGACCACAGCCCUCCCCUCCUACUAGCGUGAAAUCAGAUUCAAACACACACACCCGCUGGUGGGGGAUGAACGUUCUCAUUGAUGGCGGUGGACACAUGGAUUAUUACAGAUUUACUCUCUUUCUGUAGUCAAUUUGUAAUACAUAAACAUAAAAAUAUUCCCUUAAAAUGAAUAUACUCUUUGAUGAAGCAUUUCUGCUUCUAGGAAUCUAUCCCAGAAAAUCAGCCAGAAUGUGGCAAAAGGAAAAAAAUUUAGAAAAAGCUUAAGUGCCCAACAAUAGAGGGUUAAGUGGUCUCUUGUACUUUCAGUCAACACUUACAUACUCUUAUCAGACAUAAUUUUUGAGUUCACAUCCUGCUAUAUUUGUUUAUAAUAAGUUAUAUAUGCAUACAACUGAACUAAAAAUGGUGUGCACACUACAAAACGUACAGUAUGGAAAUUUUAACCAAUAUUCUAAAUUUUUUAUUUUACUCAUUAAUACUACAGAAACAUUUUGGCUUAGAGUAACAUGAUUUUGGAUAUGUGCCAUUAUUUCUCAAAAUCUUAUCUCAACACUUGGUGAUACAAUAAUUAAAAGGCCAAUAUAUUUUUAUACUUGGUUAUAAGAGUUGUCAUAAUUGAAAACAAUCUUUUAUAAAGACAGAUACAAAUAGAGGAAAAGCAUAAUUGGGAACACAUUAAAAAAUUUAUUUUUCAUUCUCAUAUGCUAAGUAUACAGAGAUUUUUUUUAACCUUUUAGAUUUAUUUUUUAAUAAUAUUUUUUAUUGGUGUUCCAUUUGCCAACAUACAGA